CCUACGGGUGGCUGCAGUCGAGAAUCAUUCACAAUGCGGGAAACCCUGAUGGUGCGACGCCGCGUGGGGGAAUGAAGGUCUUCGGAUUGUAAACUCCUGUCAUGUGGGAGCAAAUUAAAAAGAUAGUACCACAAGAGGAAGAGACGGCUAACUUUGUGCCAGCAGGCUCGGUAAUACAGAGGUCUCAAGCGUUGAUCGGAAUCACUGGGCGUAAAGCGCGCGGAGGCUGUGUCGUAAGUCGUGUGUGAAAGGCGCGGGCUCAACCCGCGGAAGGCAAAUGAUACUACAAGACUAGAGUAAUAGAGAGGAAACCGGAAUUCUCGGUGUAGCAGUGAAAUGCGUAGAUAUCAGGAGGAACAC
rnacentral:rRNA from 1 species